rnacentral:rRNA from 1 species
GACGAACGCUGGCGGCGUGCUUAACACAUGCAAGUGGUGCGACGAACCAGGCUUCGGCCUGGGGCGAAGCCGCGAACGGGUGAGUAACACGUGGGCAAUCUGCCCCUUUGAUCGGGACAACCCGGGGAAACCCGGGCUAAUACCGUAUGAGGUGGCGACUCAUGAGAGUCGUCACGAAAGGAAGCUUCGGCCUCCGCGAAGGGAUGAGCCCGCGGCCCAUUAGCUUGUUGGGGGGGUAAUGGCCUACCAAGGCAACGAUGGGUAGCUGGUCUGAGAGGACGAUCAGCCACACUGGGACUGAGACACGGCCCAGACUCCUACGGGAGGCUGCAGUGGGGAAUCUUGGACAAUGGGCGAAAGCCUGAUCCGGCAAUACCGCGUGUGUGAAGAAGGCCUUAGGGUUGUAAAGCACUUUCAAUUGGAAGGAAAACCUCGAAGCUAAUACCUUCGAGUUUGACAUUACCUUUAGAAGAAGCACCGGCUAACUCCGUGCCAGCCGCCGCGGUAA